rnacentral:rRNA from 1 species
GAUGAACGCUGGCGGCGUGCUUAACACAUGCAAGUCGAACGAACCUUCGGGUUAGUGGCGGACGGGUGAGUAACGCGUGGGAAUCUGCCCUCAGGAGGGGGAUAACGGCUGGAAACGGCCGCUAAUACCCCAUAUGCCGAGAGGUGAAAUGAAUUUCGCCUGAGGAUGAGCCCGCGUCUGAUUAGCUAGUUGGUGGGGUAAGAGCCUACCAAGGCGACGAUCAGUAGCUGGUCUGAGAGGAUGAUCAGCCACACUGGGACUGAGACACGGCCCAGACUCCUACGGGAGGCAGCAGUGGGGAAUUUNCCGCAAUGGGCGAAAGCCUGACGGAGCAACGCCGCGUGAGGGACGAAGGCCUCUGGUCUGUAAACCUCUUUUCUCAAGGAAGAAGAUCUGACGGUACUU